UACAGAGGUCCCAAGCGUUGUUCGGAUUCACUGGGCGUAAAGGGUGCGUAGGUGGUGGGGUAAGUCGGAUGUGAAAUCUCCGAGCUCAACUCGGAAACUGCAUUGGAAACUACCCUGCUAGAGGGUCGGAGGGGGGACUGGAAUACUUGGUGUAGCAGUGAAAUGCGUAGAUAUCAAGUGGAACACCAGUGGCGAAGGCGAGUCCCUGGACGACUCCUGACACUGAGGCACGAAAGCUAGGGGAGCAAACAGG
rnacentral:rRNA from 2 species